rnacentral:tRNA from 1 species
GGAGGCGUGGCAGAACGGUAAUGCAGCUCGGUGCUAACGAGCCGCCGCGUCACCCGCGGUUGGGGGUUCGAAUCCCUCCGCCUCCG